UGCACGAACGCUGGCGGCGUGCCUAAUACAUGCAAGUCGAGCGAAUCUUUGGGAGCUUGCUCCCAUUGGUUAGCGGCGGACGGGUGAGUAACACGUGGGCAACCUGCCUAUAAGACUGGGAUAACUUCGGGAAACCGGAGCUAAUACCGGAUAAUCCUUUUCUUCUCAUGAGGAAAAGCUGAAAGACGGUUUCGGCUGUCACUUAUAGAUGGGUCCGCGGCGCAUUAGCUAGUUGGUGAGGUAAUGGCUCACCAAGGCGACGAUGCGUAGCCGACCUGAGAGGGUGAUCGGCCACACUGGGACUGAGACACGGCCCAGACUCCUACGGGAGGCAGCAGUAGGGAAUCUUCCGCAAUGGACGAAAGUCUGACGGAGCAACGCCGCGUGAACGAUGAAGGCCUUCGGGUCGUAAAGUUCUGUUGUUAUGGGGAGAACAAGUACCGGAGUAACUGUCGGUACCUUGACGGUACCC
rnacentral:rRNA from 1 species